CGCGGCGCCACCUGAGGCUGCCGGGACGCUGGAGCGUGGGGGAGUGGGACUCCCCAAACAGCUGCUCCAAUAUAUUCUACCUAGGAUUUUUAGCUGCAUUCAAUGGGUGAGACAGGAGGAAUGUGCUUACUCCAUCUUACCAGGAACCAGAACCUGAUAAUCGUGAUUUUUAAUGCAAUACCAGAAACCUUGAAUAACACUAUCAGUUCCCUGUGAAGUGCCACUAGUGAUGCUGGAAUUUCUGCCAAGAAGCAGAGAAAAGUCCUGACGUUACAAGAAAAUGUUGAAUAAUGUUGAAUUGCUUGAUAUGUACAAUGGACUGGGGAUCUGCAGCUGUGGUUGCUCACCAUUUCAAGAUAAAUGAAUCCAGCAUGAGGACCAUUCUAAAAAAGGAAAAGGAAAUUCAUGAAGCUGUCACUGAAGCUAUGCCAGCAGGUGCUAAAAUCUUGCACUUUUUGCAAAAUACCCUUUUAUCUUGUUUUGAAAAUACAGCUUUCAUGUGGGUACAGGAUUCCUAUGAGAAAGACAUAUCCAUAGACUAUAAUGAUUUGAGAAAAUGUGAAGUCAUUAUAUGACAACUUAAAGCAAAAGGAAGGUGAAGGAUCUAAAGCUGGAGAAUUUAAUGCCAGCAAAGGAUGGUCUGAUAAUUUUAGACAGGUGUUUGGCUUUAAAAAUAUCAAGAUAACAAGAGAAGCAGCUUCUGCUGACCAAGAAGCAGCAGACAAGUUCUCAGCCACCAUUAAGAAAAUCAUUGAGAAGAAAGGAUAUCUACCUGAGGUGUUUAAUGUAGACAAAAGUGCUUGACUCUUGGGGAAAAAAAUGCCACAAAGGACAUUUAUUAGUAAGGAAGACAUGAGUGCCUCCGACUAUGAGUAGUCAGACCAUGAGGAAGAAGACAUAGAAGAACCAGUGCCAGAAAACAAAUUGACAGACAAUCUGGCAGAAGGGUUCUGACUGUUCAAGACUGCUUUUGACUACUUCUGACACAGACCCUUCUAUGAAACAAGCACUGAAACUAAAGCAAACAAUGGAAGAAGGAUUGGUACAAUACAGAAACAUUGUUAGAGAAAUGAAAAAGAAAUAAACAAAUUAUGAUGUAUUUCCAUAAAGUUACACCAAGUAUGCCUACCUCUCUCUUGCCUCUCCUUCAACCUCCUUCAUGUAUUCUGCCUCUGCCACCCCAAGACAGCAAUACCCACCCCUCCUCUUCCUCCUUCUCAGCCUACUCAACACAAAGACAACACGGAUGAAGACCUUUAUGAUAAUUCACUUUCAUUUAAUGACAUGUAGGACAUGCCUGCUUCCUCUUUGCCUUCCACCAU
rnacentral:lncRNA from 1 species